rnacentral:lncRNA from 1 species
CAGCGGAGCGGCCCCACCAGGUGGUCGCGGCCAUAACAGCGGCUCCUCACCGGCUCACCUUCCGCGCCCCUGCCGCCGGAGAUGAGGUGUCCUGGGUCAUGAAACUUAAUCCACAACAAGCUCCCUUAUAUCUUCCUUGUUUGGUGAGAAUCGCCUGUGGCCAUGGCUCUGACUGACACAGACCUACAGCUGCAGUUCUGCACGUCCCAACCUGAAACCCUCCCUUCUCCUGGCAGCAGGCCCAGCUGACCACCUCCUGCUGCAGCUCUACUCUGGAUGCCUGCAGGUCAGACUUGUCCUGGGCCAGGAGGAGCUGAGGCUGCAGACCCCAGCAGAAAUGCUGCUGAGUGACUUCGUGCCCCAUACUACAGUGCUGACUGUCUCAGAGGGCCGGUCCACAUCGUCAGUCAAUGUGUUUCUGAAUGCCUCCUCUGCAGUCCUGGGAGCCCCCUAGAGGUCCCCUGUGGACUCUGUUGGGAGCACUGGGAGCCUUGGCCUGACCUACCUGAGGGGAACCAGCCAUCCCCUGAGGAGUUGCUUCCAUACAGCCACCCUCAAUGGCUGCAGCCUCCUCCGGCCUCUGACCCCCAACGUGCGUGAGGGCUGUGCUGAAGAGUUUUACGCCAGUGACAGCGUGGCCCUGGGCUUCUCUGUGUCCCACUCUCUGGCUGCCUUCCCUGUCUGGGGCACUCAGGAUGAAGGAACCCUGGAGUUGACACUCACCACACAGAGCCGGCAGGCACCUUUGGCGUUCCAGGCAGAGGACUGGCAUGGGGACUUCAUCCAUGUGGACAUAUUUGAGGGCCACCUGUGGGCCAUGGUCGAUAAGGGCCAGGGUACUGCAUUGCUCCUCAGCAGUGUGCCUGUGGCUGAUGGGCAGCCCCACAAGGUCAGUGUCCACAUCAACACUCACCAACUGGAAAUCUCCAUGGACCAGUACCCCCACGUGUACUUUGAACUGAGGAGCCCCCGGCUACCUGGAGCCACGUGGCAGUCUCCUUCUUGGGGGGCUGGUUGCAGAGGCCUCUUGUCACCUCCAGGAACACUGCCCAGGCCUGACCCGAGGGGCCACCAAGGCCUCCCUGCUGGGCUGGCUGCAUGGAAGACUUCAGUGUCAAUGGCCAGAGGCGGGGGCUGCAGGAAGCCUUGUUGGCCGCAGCAUGGCGGCUGGCUACAGGAUGGAGGAGGUGGAGGAAUAUGAGGACGAUGCUUAUAGCCAUUAUGAAUCUUUCUCCACCCUGGCCCCUGAGGCUUGUCUGGCCAUGGGGCUAGCUGAGCCAUGUGUGCCCGGACCAGGGCUGCCUCCUGUCUUUGCCAAUUUCACCCAGCUGCUAUCAGCCCACUGGUGGUGGCUGAGGGUGGCACAGCCUGGCUUGAGUGGCGGCACGUGCAGCCCACACUGGCCCUGAUGGAGGCUGAGGGGCACAAAUCCCAGGUGCUGUUCAGCAUGACCUGAGGAGCACAUUACAGUAAGCUGAAGCUGGACAUCCUGGGUGCCCAGGUAUGAAAAAUGUUUGCCCUCCUGGACGUGGUGAACCGCAAGGCCUGCUUCAUCCACGAUGGCCCUGAGGACACCUCUGACCAGCUGAUGCUAGAGGUGUCAGUGACGGCUCGGGUGCCCAUGCCCUCAUGCGUACUGACCUCCUGGAGGCCACCCUUGAGGAGGCAGGCCCAAGCCUCCCAACCUUCCACUAUGAGGUGGUUCAGGCUCCCAGGAACGGCAGCCUUCAAUACAGGGCACGAGGCUGUCAGGCGGUCAGGGCUUCACCCAGGCUGGCCGGGUGACCUUCGGGGCCACGGCAUGUGCCUCGGGGGCAGUCUAGGACACCUUCUGUUUCUGUGUCACAGCUCCACCAUAUUUCUCUCUGCUCUGUACCUUUUCCAUCCAUAUUGGUGGUGACGCAGACGUGCCUGUCCUCACCAGUGUCCUCAUGGUGCCUGAGGGUGUCCUCUCUGCUGACCAGCUCUUUGUUAAGAGUCUCAACAGUGCCAGGUACCUCUGUGAGGUCAUGGAGCGGCCCAGCCAUGGGAGGUUGACUUGGCGUGGGACACAGGACAAGACCACUGUGGUGACAUCCUUCACCAAUGGAGACCUGUUGCCUGAUUGGCUGGUCUACGAGCAUGAUGACUCCAAGAUCACAGAAGAUGAUAUCCCAUUUGUUGGUACCCGCCAGGAUGAAGGCAGUGGUAACAUGGCCUGGGAGGAGGUACGGGGUGUCUUCCUAGUGGCCAUCUAGCCAUCUAGAAUGACCACGACCCUAUGCAGACCAUCAGCUGCAUCUUCCAUAUGGCCUGGGGUAGGUGGUGGCUACUCACUACAGACGAUGUGGCCUUUAGCAGUGCUGAUUCAGGCUUUGCUGAUGCCCAGCUGGUGCUGACCUGCAAGGACCUCCUCUUUGGCAGUAUCAUGGCUGUGGAUGAGCCCAUGCAGCCCAUCUACUGCUUCAUCCAGGAGGGACCUCAGGAAGAGGUGAGUCCUGUUCGUGCACCCGGGCUGACCACAGCUGGAUCCAGCUGCAGGUGUCUGAUGGGCAGCACCAAACCAUCACUCUGCUGGAAGUGCAGGCCUCGGAGCCCUACCUCUCUGUGGCCAGUGGUUCCGGCCUCAUGAUCCCUCAAGGAGGCCAGGGUACCAUCAACAUGGCCAAGCUCCACCUGGACGCCAACCUUGACAUCCACAGCGGGGAUGAGGUCCACUACCAUGUCACAGAUGGCCCUCGCUGAGGACAGUUGCUCUGGGCCACUCAGCCAGCCACAGCCCUCUCCCAGCAGGGCCUGCUGGUUGAGGCCGUUCUCAACGGCCACAAUGGCAGCCUCAGGCCCCACAACACCCUGGCCUUCUCAAUGAUUGUGGGGCCAGUGCACACGGAUGCCACCUUGCAAGUGACCGUUGCCCUAGAGGGCCCACUGGCCCCACUGAAGCUGGCCUGGUGCAAGAAGAUGUACAUCUUCCGGAGAGAGGCAGCUGAGAUCAGAAGGGACCAGCUGGAGGCAGCCCAGGAUGCAGUGCCGCCGGCAGACAUGGUUUUCAGCGAAGAGCCGCUGAGUGCUGGCACCUGGUGAUGGUUCCGCGUGGUGUCUUGGCAGAUGAACCACCCAGCCUGGACCCCAUGCAGAGCUUCUCCCAAGAGGUGGUGGACACAGACAGGAUCCUGUACCUGGACUCCCGCCCUGAUGCCUGGAGCAAUGCCUUCUUGCUGGAUGUGGCCUUGGCUUGGGUGCUUCCCUCGAGGACGUCAUGUGGAGCUGGAGGUGCUGCCUGCUGUCAUCCGCACUGGGUCACAAAACUUCAGCAUCAUGAGGGUAGCAGCUGUACCCUGGCCCUCCACUGCUCCACGUCGCCAGGCCCUACUUCCUCACUCUGCCGGGCCUUGGCCUGCAGGUGCUGGAGCCACCCUGGCUCCCAGCAGAAGAGAACGGGCCUCAAGCCAGGACCCUCAGCACCUUCUGCUGGAGAGAGACCACGGAGUUCUCAUCUCGGAGACACUGGCCAGUGUGUGCUCGUGUGAGGACCAGAACACACUGAUGGAGGAGUUGGCAGAGCAGGCACAGCCGCGGCGCGAGGAGAUGCUGCGCAUGCACCACGUGCUGAAGGAGGGGCUCAGCAUCAUCCGCGACAUCAACACAACCACCGUCAGCAUGUCCAAGCGCCUACCGAUGGACGACUCCUGGCUGCAGGUGUAGAGCAUCCCGGACGCAGGUCGCCUAAGUCCAGUCCCAGGAUGCCCAUCCCUGGCUAUGUCCCCAGCCUGGCCUGGGUCGUGGGGCCUGGCUCCUGGGCUUCCUCCUACUGGGUCCGCCCUUGGGGAAGCAUCCUCCGUACCCUCCAGGCCAGAGGCUUCCCCUGAUCCCUUCAGCCCUACCCGCCAAGUGCUCUCGUGCCCCACCCGGGAUCGCCAGGUGAGUAGGGGCUGAAUGCGGAUUGGGACUGGAAUCCAGAGCAUUGGACCUGGCCGCCAGAACUGGCCGUUUCCAUCCAAGGCAGUGGGACCGUGGACGCCUGAGCCACAUGUGGCCGAGGGCUGGCGGAGCCUGCCCCCCAGGGAGCGCUGAGUCCCGGAGUUGGUCGUUUUUGAGGAGGGGGCUGAGGGGCUCGUCCCACCUGCUGCCUUCUUUCCAGCACUUGCGUAGCACUUCCCUCUAUUUUCACUCUGGGCAGUCGCCCACACGUUGCAUUCCUCUUCCUAUCUUCUCCUUGUCUUCCAUCCUCCAUUCCGUCCAACUCCUCUCCCAGCCCCUGGGGAGCCUACCUCAGGUCUGAGAGUCUGAACCCCGAGAUGCUCUGGGUGUGUGGAUUUCCUUCAUCUACCCUGAUGUCCCCACUUCCAAGUCCUGACUCCUUUGAGCCAUCCCAGGGAGUGUCUGGCCACUGUGCCACAGGAGCAGAGGCCAGGCUGUGACUGUGUGACCAACAAGAAUUCAUUAGUUUCUGUUUGUUCUCAGUUAAUAUCCAGCUCAAUAGAUUGUCACCAACCAUGUGCCUAGAGCUAACUGUGUCAAGAAGAGCAUGCUUCAGGUGGCUGCAGUGAGCAGUUCAACUUGUGGAGGAAUGAGAAAUGAUAGUGUUGAGACAAGAAACACAAAACCCAGGGAUGGCUGUGGAGAUCCAGGGAGGCAGUGGCCAUAGGGAUGCUAUGUUAACUGCAGAUGCAGCCAUAGGAGCACUUUGCUAACUGCCAACGCUGCCCCACCAUGCAUGUGACCUGCCAUGUGAUUUGAUGCUGUCUUUCAGAAUCACUAUCGGUGUUCCCUGAGGAGCGUCAGCCUUGAUGCCUCUCUGAGUAAGAUGAUGGGAGCACCCCGUGAGAAAAGUUGCCUCGGUGAGAGUAAGGAGGCCAUCGCACCUCCUCCAAAGAAACCAACUCCAUCAACCUCUGGCUCUUAAAUAACAAACAUCAUCAUCCAGAAAUAAAUUCACAUUUAUUCAGUUUGAACUCACAUUUUAAAAUUCUGUUUCUGCUGAACUCUAACCUUCUAAUGUCGCCUUCUAAGCAAAUUGAAAGCUGCCUUAUACUGAAUGAGGAAGAGAACAAAUACUUGGCUGAAUGAGCUCUUAGAUGAUGGUGAUGUUUAUCUGCCUGAUCUCGGCACGGUGAAAAGAAUGGCAUGCAGGGGUUGCUGCGCAAGCCUCGGUGCUCCUGGAGAGUCCUGCGUUAGAGGAAGCAGCUGCACGAUCUGCUGUGCCGUGGGGUUGUGGUGGGGAGAACCCUCUCUGGCCUCUCCUGGUGCAGGCUCCACGCUGUCAGUGAGGCUCAGCCACGAAGAUCUUCAGACAGAGGGAGGAGGGGAUCUGAGGUCAGUCCACCUUGUCCUCCAUAAAGUCGCUGUGAAGCCAAAAUAAUGGGGUCACAUCUCAAGAACCACCUGCCUUGCCCCACCCACACCGUUUCAUGGCCCCUGCAGGGCUCGGUGGGUCUCCCACACACAGACUCACCCCAGUCCCUGGGGUCCUCUGGGAUAAAGCCACUGGGUGAGCCAGGGGCUGGCAGCACACCCUUUGCUAUUCCUGGGCAUUGGCUCCAGCGUCGUUGAAAAAUGCCACCUGAAGGCAAGAGUGUCACUCUGUGUCCCAGGCUGGAGUCCAGUGGUGCGAUCUCAGCUCACUGCAACCUCUACCUCCCAGGCUCAAAUGAUUCUCGUGCCUCAGCCUCCUGAGUAGCUGGGAUGACAGGCAUGCACCACCAGGCCUAGAGAGAAGCAAUCAUUGGCCACCUGCUAUAACUGAAGACCCCAGAACUUGGUGUCUGCCUCCCAUGGCACCGGGAAGGGUGGAGGCAGGUUACAAAAAUCAUCCCCUCUCUCCCACAGCCAUCAGAGCAGGGCUCUGGCUCACAGGUGCCUUUAGAAGUACCAUUUCAUGUGAGGGCUACAAUGCCCCAUUUUACAGGUGGGGAAACAAAGGCCUGGAGGGCUAGGGAAGAGGGCAGGCUCCCCAGGUGGGGCAACCACCGGCUCCUCAGCUACACUGUGGCUCGCCUGCUGCUCGUAGAGGGCCACCCCAGCUGCAGCAUCCUCUCCAGCUCCGUAGCCUCUCCAGCUCCCUUGUGUCUCCUGCUCCCACAGCCUCUGAUCCUGCUCCCCAGCUCUCUUGUUCUGCUCCUCCUGCUUGCUCCAUCCUCCAGCUCUUCUGCUCUCUGUUGCCUCUCCCGUUCAAAGCCUCCCACCUGCUCCAUGGCCUCUCCUGCUCUGCUUGAUCUCUCAUCUUGCUCCGGCAGCCUCUCCUGUUCCAACUUCUCCACCUGGUCCAUAGCCUCCCUGGUCCAGCAGCCUCUCUUCUCACUACCCUCUCCUGUUCCCAUAGCCUCCACCUGCUCUCAGCCUCUCCUGCUCAUGGCAUUCCUCUCCUGCUCCAUAUCCUCUCCUGUGCUCGCCAUCCUCUCCUCCUGCUCAUUAUCCUCUCCUGCUCAUGUAUCCUCUCCUCCUGCUCACGUAUCCUCUCCUCCUGCUCAUGCUCCUCUGCUCAUUAUCCUCUCCUCCUGUCUCCUGUGCAGGAGACUCAACAUCUGAUUGUUUUCCACCUCGGCCUGGAGCUGUCUUCCCAGACUCUCCAGCUCCUUCCUUAGGUGUUUGGUCUCAUCUUGUAGCUGCUCCACCUCAGAGGGCC